GAAAUGCGAUAAGUAAUGUGAAUUGCAGAAUUCAGUGAAUCAUCGAAUCUUUGAACGCACCUUGCGCUCCUUGGUAUUCCUUGGAGCAUGCCUGUUUGAGUAUCAUGAAAUCUUCAAAGUAAAUCUUUUGUUAACUCAAUUGGUUUCUACUUUGGUAUUGGAGGUCUUUGCAGCUUCACACCUGCUCCUCUUUGUUCAUUAGCUGGAUCUCAGUGUUAUGCUUGGUUCCACUCGGCGUGAUAAGUUAUCUAUCGCUGAGGACACUGUAAAAGGUGGCCAAGGUAAAUGCAGAUGAACCGCUUCUAGUAGUCCAUUGACUUGGACAAUACUUUUAUGAUCUGAUCUCAAAUCAGGUAGGACUACCCGCUGAACUUAAGC
rnacentral:misc_RNA from 1 species